CUGAGCCAUGUAGCUCUCAUCUUCCAGUAGGCUGGCCUGAGUGCAUUCACAUGACAGAGGCAGGUUCCCAGGACAGGAGCAGAGAAAAAUGGGGCCUUCAUUUAGCUGAUUGAACCAACAAAGGAGAAGUUUGAGACAGAAAAUGAAUAUAGAUCCAGCUGCAGCAAUUAGAGGGGAAAUCGAUAGAACAUCAUCAAGAGCAUCAGACACGUGUUCUUCAUGAAUAAAAUGAGAACAACAACAGUACCCACCUUGUAGGAUGUGGC